GCCUCAGUAACGGCGAGUGAAGCGGCAAAAGCUCAAAUUUGAAGUCUGGCUCUUUUAGGGUCCGAGUUGUAAUUUGUAGAAGAUGUUUCGGGUGUGGCUCCGGUUUAAGUUCUUUGGAAUAUUACAUCAUAGAGGGUGAGAAUCCCGUAUGUGACCGGCAGCCUCCGCCUAUGUGAAACUCUUUCGACGAGUCGAGUUGUUUGGGAAUGCAGCUCAAAAUGGGAGGUAUAUUUCUUCUAAAGCUAAAUAUUGGCCAGAGACCGAUAGCGCACAAGUAGAGUGAUCGAAAGAUGAAAAGCACUUUGGAAAGAGAGUUAAACAGUACGUGAAAUUGUUGAAAGGGAAGCGCUUGCAACCAGACUUGCACGCAGUUGAUCAUCCGGUGUUCUCACCGGGGCACUCUGCUGCGUUCAGGCCAGCAUCGGUUUUGGUGGUUGGAUAAAGGCCUUGGGAAUGUGGCUUCCUUCGGGGAGUGUUAUAGCCCUCGGUGCAAUGCAGCCUACCGGGACCGAGGACCGCGCUUCGGCUAGGAUGC
rnacentral:rRNA from 1 species